rnacentral:rRNA from 1 species
GACGAACGCUGGCGGCGUGCUUAACACAUGCAAGUCGAACGGAAAGGCGCUGCUUUUGCGGGGUGCUCGAGUGGCGAACGGGUGAGUAACACGUGAGUAACCUGCCCUUGACUUUGGGAUAACUUCAGGAAACUGGGGCUAAUACCGGAUAUGAGCUCCUGCUGCAUGGUGGGGGUUGGAAAGUUUCGGCUGUUGGGGAUGGACUCGCGGCUUAUGAGCUUGUUGGUGAGGUAGUGGCUUACCAAGGGUUUGACGGGUAGCCUGCCUGGGAGGGGGACCGGCCACAUGGGGACUGAGAGACGGCCCAGACUCCUACGGGAGGCAGCAGUGGAGAAUAUUGCACAAUGGGCGGAAGCGUGAUGCAGCAACGCCGCGUGCGGGAUGACGGCCUUCGGGUUGUAAACCGAUUUCGCCUGUGACGAAGCGUGAGUGACGGUAAUGGGUAAAGAAGCACCGGCUAACUACGUG